rnacentral:ncRNA from 1 species
CAUCAAGAGUGGCUGAGAAACUGGUUCGAUGAAGCCCGGCAACCUCCUCAAUGUGAGAAAGGUGCCAAUUCCUGCGGUUUAACCGAGAGAU